UACGUAGGGUGCAAGCGUUAAUCGGAAUACUGGGCGUAAAGCGUGCGCAGGCGGUGAUGUAAGACAGAUGUGAAAUCCCCGGGCUCAACCUGGGAACUGCAUUUGUGACUGCAUCGCUAGAGUACGGCAGAGGGGGAUGGAAUUCCGGCGUGUAGCAGUGAAAUGCGUAGAUAUGCGGGAGGAACACCGAUGGCGAAGGCAAUCCC
rnacentral:rRNA from 1 species